GGCCCGGAUCCCCCGUCUGGUUCCGCCUCCUGCUCCGGCCUGGAUCCCUACUCCGGUCCCGACUCCUGUUCCCGUCCGGAACCCAACUCCGGUCCCGACUCCGGCUCGGACCCUGACUCCUCCAGUCCGGGUCCCAGCCCCAGCCCCAGCCCAGCUCCUGGCAGGGAUUCGGGCCGCGCUCCCCGUCUUGGACUCCUACCUGGCCCCGGCCCUACCUUUGGAUCCGCCCCCGGAACCUGCUCCGGAGCUGCCUUUGUUGCCCGAGGAGGACCCUGAGCCGGCGCCGAGCCUGAAGCUCAUCCCGUCGGUCUCCAGCGAGGCCGGGCCCGCCCCGGGGCCCCUUCCCACGCGCACCCCGCUGGCCGCGAACUCACCCGGGCCCACCCUGGACUUCACCUUCAGGGCAGACCCGUCGGCCACCGGGCUGGCGGAUCCCCCCAUUCCCAGUCCUGUCCCCUCGCCCAUCCUGGGGACCAUCCCGUCGGCCAUCUCCUUACAGAAUUCUACGGAAACUUUCCCCUCCUCCAGCGAGAACUUCGCGCUGGACAAGAGGGUCCUGAUUCGAGUGACCUACUGUACAUUCUACUGAAAAAGAGCCUGGAGCAGCAAUUUCCGAAUCACCUACUCUUUGUAAGUGUGUGGGGG
rnacentral:sRNA from 1 species